CCCCCCCCCCCCUCUACGUCCACUGCAGGCGCUCCUCCUUCUCCUCCAUCAUCAGGAGGGUCUCGACUGCAGUUCUACUCCAGGCUCCGCAUCCAAGCAAUUGCAACGAAUGGCAAGGUUGCGUGUCUCAAAGUAGAAAUCUCAGAGGUGUCGCUUCCUGCCGUAUUCAUGCGAUGGAGGAGGUUCUUUCAUGAUUCCUUAGUUGUUUUUGGUUCGAUUUUUUAUCUCGCGGCGCUCAUCUAGGUCUUCUGUUGCCCCCUUGUUGUUCUAGGCUUAGGUUUUGUUGUUGGAUUGGUGACUGUCGCGAACUGGUAACACGUCAGCUUGCUAUUGUCUGCCAUCUCUGUUGAUCGAGGUAGCUUUGCUGGUUCUGCUCUUGCUCGGCCAUCCCGUUAGGUGUUCAUCUUAUCCCGUUUUUCUCUGUCCGUAUUUUGUUGUGCCUGUAUUUAAGCAUGGAUUGUGCCUUAAUAGAUCUACUAUUUUUGUUGGGCUUUGUCUUUUGUGUGGGGUUUGCUUAUUUUUGGUUAUUCAUUGUUUGUGGCAGGAUGUUUGCUGUCAGUUGUCCGUACGUGAAUAAAAGAAAAUCUUGUGUUGCUCUGUUACUUUGUUUACCAGUCAUUCACUUUUUUUUUGUUGAUAAUGGAGUAUCCUUUUUGGGCUAAUCUUAUAUUUUUCUUUAGGUUGCCACCGAUGGGAAUACAACCAGUGGACAUGUUUUGCUUGUCAACGACCAGAACAAGAACAAGUCAAUACUUAUCUGUAUAUGUUCAACUUUGUGGAUGAUUGCAGGCUUUGUGUUCAUAGUUUAUAUGGUUUGUCUUUAUAUCUAGUCCAUGGUCGCUGUAUUGGUCUAUCAUUCAUCUACCGGCUAAUUAACCAUAGAAAGGUCAUGGCAUUAAUAGGAUAUAUUUUGCUUUUUUCCUUUACAGAAAAGAUUAUUAUCGGGCUAACAGUGACUCAAUGCAUUGCUUGACACAAUGAUUUGAGAUUAA